rnacentral:rRNA from 1 species
GCAAGUCGAGCGGAAACGAUGGGAGCUUGCUCCCAGGCGUCGAGCGGCGGACGGGUGAGUAACGCGUAGGAAUCUACCCAGUAGCGGGGGAUAGCCAGUGGAAACGCUGAUUAAUACCGCAUACGCCCCACGGGGGAAAGGAGGGGAUCUCUUCGGAGACCUUUCACUAUUGGAGGAGCCUGCGUUGGAUUAGCUAGUUGGUGAGGUAAAGGCUCACCAAGGCGACGAUCCAUAGCCGACCUGAGAGGGUGAUC